GAGAUGAGAGAGAGUUUGGUGGGAGAAGAAGAGGAGAAAGGUAGAAGUCAAUGGUGUACUGGAGUCCUCGCUAGCUCUGUUGAGAGUAUUAUAUAGAUGGGAGGAAGAGAGCUGUGGGAUGAGACAUGGGUUAGUUUGAGAGAUUGGAGGGUGAGUGGGGACCACACUGACUUGGUCAUGGGGGCACAAGGACUUAAGGAUGAUAAGAGAGAGAAAGUUAAGAUGUCUCUUUUUGGUAGUUUGAGGGGUCAUGCAGAUAGGGCGAAGGAGUUAGAGAAAAUAUGAGAUUAGGAGAGAGAAAAGAUGGCAAGAACCUUAAAUUGUUUUCAACUUGACUCUUUCGCUCAAUGCUUGGCCUAAACAAUUAGGCAUUGGCAGCCACAGGGAUGAUUUAUCAUGAUGUGGUUAAGUGAGGUUCUCUUUAUUUGGGUAUGGACCAAUAUGAUUAAUAUUGAAGAUAGCCUACAAAUAUGAUGAGACGCUUACAUAGUGUGCUGCCGUAGCUUAUGAAGCUAGAACUGGCUUGACAAAUUGGUGCAGGCCGCACA
rnacentral:lncRNA from 1 species